rnacentral:rRNA from 1 species
GCUUGUCUCAAAGAUUAAGCCAUGCAUGUCUUAGUGUAAAUAACUCUUAUGAAACUGCGAAUGGCUCAUUAAAUCAGUUAUCAAAUACGUGAUGGUCGCCUACUACAUGGAUAACCGUAGUAAUUCUAGAGCUAAUACAUGCACAAAGGCCCACUCACGUGGGUUGUGAUUAUUAGAUUCAAACCGGCCUCGUUCUGGUGAUUCAUAAUAACCAAGCGAAUCGUCGGUUUACCGACGAUAGAUCGUUCAAGUUUCUGACCUAUCAGCUUUGGUCGGUAGGGUAUUGGCCUACCGAGGCAAUGACGGGUAACGGAGAAUUAGGGUUCGAUUCCGGAGAGGGAGCCUGAGAAACGGCUACCACAUCUAAGGAAGGCAGCAGG